rnacentral:rRNA from 1 species
UACGAAGGGGGCUAGCGUUGCUCGGAAUGACUGGGCGUAAAGCGCACGUAGGCGGCUUUGUAAGUUAGAGGUGAAAGCCCGGGGCUCAACUCCGGAACUGCCUUUAAGACUGCAUCGCUUGAAUCCAGGAGAGGUGAGUGGAAUUCCGAGUGUAGAGGUGAAAUUCGUAGAUAUUCGGAAGAACACCAGUGGCGAAGGCGGCUCACUGGACUGGUAUUGACGCUGAGGUGCGAAAGCGUGGGGAGCAAACAGG